CAAUAGCGUAUAUUAAAGUUGUUGCGGUUAAAAAGCUCGUAGUCGGAUUUCUGUUGAGAACGUCCGGUCCGCACUAUGUGCGUGUAUCUGGUUCGGUCUUGGCAUCCUCUUGAGGAACGUAUCUGCGCUUGAUUGCGUGGAGCGGUAUUCAAGACUUUUACUUUGAGGAAAUUAGAGUGUUCACGGCAGGCAAGCGCCUUGAAUACGUUAGCAUGGAAUAAUAAUAUAGGAUCUUGGUUCUAUUUUGUUGGUUUCUAGGGCUAAGGUAAUGAUUAAUAGGGAUAAUUGGGGGCAUUUGUAUUAACGCGUCAGAGGUGGAAUUCUUGGAUUGCGUUACGACAAACUACUGCGAAAGCAUUUGCCAAGGAUGUUUUCAUUGA
rnacentral:rRNA from 1 species